UGUGUAGGCGGCGCGGUAAGUCGGGUGUGAAAUCUCGGGGCUUAACUCCGAAACUGCAUUCGAUACUGCCGUGCUUGAGGACUGGAGAGGAGACUGGAAUUUACGGUGUAGCAGUGAAAUGCGUAGAUAUCGUAAGGAAGACCAGUGGCGAAGGCGGGUCUCUGGACAGUUCCUGACGCUGAGACACGAAGGCCAGGGAGCAAACG
rnacentral:rRNA from 1 species